rnacentral:rRNA from 1 species
UACGUAGGGGGCAAGCGUUGUCCGGAAUCAUUGGGCGUAAAGCGCGCGUAGGCGGCUUGGUAAGUCCGCUCUGAAAGCCCGGGGCUCAACCCCGGGAGGCGGGUGGAUACUGUCAAGCUCGAGUCCGGAAGAGGCGAGUGGAAUUCCUGGUGUAGCGGUGAAAUGCGCAGAUAUCAGGAGGAACACCAAUGGCGAAGGCAGCUCGCUGGGACGUGACUGACGCUGAGACGCGAAAGCGUGGGGAGCGAACAGG